rnacentral:rRNA from 1 species
GACGAACGCUGGCGGCGUGCUUAACACAUGCAAGUCGAACGGAAAGGCCCUGCUUUUGUGGGGUGCUCGAGUGGCGAACGGGUGAGUAACACGUGAGUAACCUGCCCUUGACUUUGGGAUAACUUCAGGAAACUGGGGCUAAUACCGGAUAGGAGCUCCUGCUGCAUGGUGGGGGUUGGAACGUUUCGGCGGUUGGGGAUGGACUCGCGGCUUAUCAGCUUGUUGGUUGGGUAGUGGCUUACCCAGGCUUUGACGGGUAGCCGGCCUGAGAGGGUGACCGGCCACAUUAGGACUGCGAGACGGCCCAGACUCCUACGGGAGGCAACAGUGGGGAAUAUUGCACAAUGGGCGGAAGCCGGAGGCAGCAACGCCGCGUGCGGGAUGACGGCCUUCGGGUAGUAAACCGCUUUCGCCUGUGACGAAGCGUGAGUGACGGUAAUGGGUAAAGAAGCACCGGCUAACUACGUG